rnacentral:rRNA from 1 species
UAGGGAAUCUUCGGCAAUGGGGGGAACCCUGACCGAGCAACGCCGCGUGAGUGAAGAAGGUUUUCGGAUCGUAAAGCUCUGUUGUUAAGGAAGAACGAGUGUGAGAAUGGAAAGUUCAUGCUGUGACGGUACUUAACCAGAAAGGGACGGCUAACUACGUGCCAGCAGCCGCGGUAAUACGUAGGUCCCGAGCGUUGUCCGGAUUUAUUGGGCGUAAAGCGAGCGCAGGCGUUUAGAAAAGUCUGAAGUGAAAGGGAUUGGAUCGACCAUUAUAGGCUUUGGAAACUGUUUAACUUGAGUGCAGAAGGGGAGAGUGGAAUUCCAUGUGUAGCGGUGAAAUGCGUAAAUAUAUGAAGGAACACCGGUGGCGAAAGCGGCUCUCAAGUAUGUAACUGACGCUGAGGCUCGAAAGCGUGGGGAGCGAACAGG